GUCUGGAUAGCUCAGUGGUCUAGAGCAGUUGCCCGGAAAGCGAAAGACUCGGGUUCGAUUCCCGAUCCACCCA
rnacentral:tRNA from 1 species